rnacentral:rRNA from 1 species
AGAUUGAACGUUGGCGGCACGNNNAAACAUGCAAGUCGAACGAGAAAGCUCUUUCGGGAGCGAGUAAAGUGGCGGACGGGUGAGGAACGCGUAGGAAUCUGCCUAGUAGUGGGGGAUAACUCGGGGAAACUCGAGCUAAUACCGCAUACACUCUGAGGAGAAAAGCGGGGGACCUUUAGGCCUCGCGCUAUUAGAGGAGCCUGCGUUAGAUUAGUUUGUUGGUGAGGUAAUGGCUCACCAAGACUACGAUCUAUAGCUGGUCUGAGAGGACGAUCAGCCACACUGGAACUGAGACACGGUCCAGACUUCUACGGAAGGCAGCAGUUAGGAAUAUUGCGCAAUGGGCGAAAGCCUGACGCAGCGAUGCCGCGUGUGUGAAGAAGGCUCUAGGGUUGUAAAGCACUUUCAGUCGUGAAGAAAUUUAUUUUGUUAAUACCGAAAUGAUUUGACGUUAACGACAGAAGAAGUACCGGCUAACUCCGUGCCAGCAGCCGCGGUAAUACGGAGGGUACGAACGUUAAUCGGAAUUACUGGGCGUAAAGCGCGCGUAGGCGGUUUGGUAAGUGGGAUGUGAAAGCCCCGGGCUCAACCUGGGAACUGCAUUCCAAACUGGCAAACUAGAGUGUGGUAGAGGGAAGUAGAAUUUGAUGUGUAGCGGUGAAAUGCGUAGAUAUAUCAAGGAAUACCAAUGGCGAAGGCAGCUUCCUGGACUAACACUGACGCUGAGGUGCGAAAGCGUGGGGAGCAAACAGGAUUAGAUACCCUGGUAGUCCACGCCGUAAACGAUGAGAACUAGCCGUUGGGAGGUUCGCCUCUUAGUGGCGCAGCUAACGCAAUAAGUUCUCCGCCUGGGGAGUACGGCCGCAAGGUUAAAACUCAAAUGAAUUGACGGGGGCCCGCACAAGCGG